AACUAACGCUGGCGGCGUGCCUAACACAUGCAAGUCGUACGGUAGUCCUUGAGCUUGCUUAGGGAUGAGAGUGGCGAACGGGUGAGUAACACGUGGAUAAUCUGCCUCCGGGUUGGGGAUAACUGUCCGAAAGGGCAGCUAAUACCGAAUGAGAUGGUGGUUACAUAAGUAGCAGCCAUUAAAGGUGGGGACCGCAAGGCCUACUGCCUGGAGAUGAGUCCGCGGCUGAUUAGCUUGUUGGUGGGGUAACGGCCUACCAAGGCGACGAUCAGUAGCCGGCCUGAGAGGGUGAACGGCCACAUUGGGACUGAGAUACGGCCCAGACACCUACGGGAGGCAG
rnacentral:rRNA from 1 species